UACGAAGGGGGCUAGCGUUGCUCGGAAUCACUGGGCGUAAAGGGUGCGUAGGCGGAUUUGUAAGUCAGGGGUGAAAUCCCGGGGCUCAACCUCGGAACUGCCUUUGAUACUGCAAAUCUCGAGUCCGGAAGAGGUGAGUGGAAUUCCUAGUGUAGAGGUGAAAUUCGUAGAUAUUAGGAAGAACACCAGUGGCGAAGGCGGCUCACUGGUCCGGUACUGACGCUGAGGUGCGAGAGCGUGGGGAGCGAACCGG
rnacentral:rRNA from 1 species